UCUCUCCAACAGCUCCAUGUCCUUCCUGUGUUGGGAACUCCAGAACUGGGCCCAGUCUCCACGCAGGGUGUCACAAGAGCAGAGUAUCUAUUAGCUCUCUAAAUGUUACCAGUCAUUGGGAGCUGAGAUGGUUCAACACACCAGUCUCCUCAGGAUGGUCCUUCAAGGUGGCUCACCAGCCCCACAGGCUGCUCAGGACUGACCUGCUGGUCCUCCAGCUCCCUGUAGCUCCUGCCACCACCACGUGUCCCAGUGUCUUGCACUCAGCAGGAGGAUCCUCCUGGCACCAGCAGAUCUUUGAUCUCUCCAGCUCUCCAAGCCUUUGGGGUCAUAUCCACUGCAGGUCACCAGCUGAUGGGCUCACUGAGCUGUUUCCAAGAGGACCACGACUCUUCUUUGCCCCAAAGUCCAUACCUGCACACAGGGGUGCUCAUGGGCAGAGGUGGAUUCCAGCUGGUCUUCUGUGAUUACCUGGAGGAAGAGAAAAGCUCUGAAGGGAAAGGAAGAGACCAGUGGGGAGAAGGCAAAGAAUUCUGGAAUGAUUGUCCAGAAAGUGUUUCCAGGGAAGAGCCAGGACCUUGGAAAUGAACCUCAUCCCCCUCCAACACGGUGAGUUGAUCACCAGCUGCUGAGCCAGGGCUGGAUGUGGCUCCUUGGCUGAGCAGAGUUGAAGACUCAAAAGUGUGGAGCAUAUUUUAGAUCCACCAGCACUAAUUAAUUGCCCUUUAAUUGGCUCCUUGUCCCUUCAGAGCUGUGCAAGGAACAGAAAAGCCACUUCUGUGGCUGGCAGGGAGGAGCAUUUGCCAGCAGGUGCUGCUGGGUGGCUCCUCCCAAGCCCUCCUGGCUUCUUUCCCAACCAGUUCACUGCUCCCAGUCCUGUUUGCAGGUGGGGUGGGGCAUUUGACAAGAAAAGUUGAUUAAUGUCAUGUAGUGUCUGAAGAUGAGUUUAAACAUGUGCUGCUACUUUGGAGGAUUGCCCACAGAAAGAGGGGCAGCAGAAUUCCAGGCUUGGGAAGAUGUGGCAGGAGGGGGUGAUGCUGCUGUUGGGGGGUGAUUCAACCAGCCUCAGUGUUGGGCUAUUUCAGUUUACUUGCCUCAGCUUUCUGACCCAGAGAGGGAUCUCAUUCCUUGCCUUGGAACUGUUCAAUCCACAGAAUAUUAAUACAAAUUUCACCCAGAUAUGUUUCUGAAAUGUUCUUGUGGCAGGUGAGGAAGGUCCAGGGGGUACAAACCUCACCUGCACCUCAGCAAGAAACAGCCUUCUUGGAACUUUAUCCAGAAUGAACAAAAGAAUCCCCUUCCUUCUGCCCACGUAUCUGGCAGUUAUUAUUUGCCCAAUAAAAUUAGACUCAUCAGGGGUUUGCAGCAGUUACCUCAUGUUCUAUUUUAAGCACUUGGCUGCUCCUGUUUUAAAACCUCAGCAGCUCUGGGGAGGAGACUUGACACUUGUCAGCGUGUGAACUCAAGUGAGGCACCAUCAGCUUCACCCUGUCUAACAACCUGAGUAGAAAAAACAUCAUUUCCAUCUCCCACCCCUAUCCUGAGAGGCAAUUUCCAUGCCCCAGGGGGCUCUUCUCCCCUUUUCCUCUCCUGC